rnacentral:rRNA from 1 species
GAACGAACGCUGGCGGCGCGCCUAAUACAUGCAAGUCGAGCGAGAAGGUGUAGCAAUACACUUGUAAAGCGGCGAACGGGUGAGGAAUACAUGGGUAACCUACCCUCGAGUGGGGAAUAACUAGCCGAAAGGUUAGCUAAUACCGCAUACGAUUCCAGGACUUCGGUCCUGGAAGGAAAGCACUACCGUGGGUAGUGCGCUCCUGGAUGGGCUCAUGUCCUAUCAGCUUGNGGUGAGGUAAAGGCUCACCAAGGCUUCGACGGGUAGCUGGUCUGAGAGGACCGAUCAGCCACACUGGCACUGCGACACGGGCCAGACUUCCA